rnacentral:tRNA from 1 species
UGCACUAAUAGCUUAAAGUAAAAGCACCA